rnacentral:lncRNA from 1 species
UGGCAAAAGAAAUGUGUAACUAUGACUUGACUUGUGAUUGCGAAAAUAUUAUAUUAUAUAAAGUGAAAAGUGUGGUAAAAAAGUAAUAAUUUAUUUUGAUGAAUGAUACCACGCUACAUAUAUUAAGUCAGUUAAAAUAUAUAUUCUACAGUUACACUAAAAAGCCAGAAAACUGAGAAGCAUGUUUUUAUAAGUUUUUGUUUUAAUUCUAUUUUAUUUGAGAUAUAUUACGUUAUAUAUGAUAAGAAUAAGAUGUGAAGUAUUUUAUUUAUUUUCGUAUAUCAUGUUGCGCCUAUCUUUUUAAAUUCCCAUUUGCCUUUUCCCCAACUCCGCUUUGUGUAGGAGCAUUAGAUGGACCUCAAUACCAAACGAGUCCUUAGACGGGCUUUAGUACCAAACGGACC